rnacentral:rRNA from 1 species
GAAUAUUGCACAAUGGGCGCAAGCCUGAUGCAGCGACGCCGCGUGAGGGAUGACGGCCUUCGGGUUGUAAACCUCUUUCAGUAGGGAAGAAGGCCUUCGGGUUGACGGUACCUGCAGAAGAAGCGCCGGCUAACUACGUGCCAGCAGCCGCGGUAAUACGUAGGGCGCAAGCGUUGUCCGGAAUUAUUGGGCGUAAAGAGCUCGUAGGCGGUUUGUCGCGUCUGCUGUGAAAACGCGAGGCUUAACCUCGCGCCUGCAGUGGGUACGGGCAGACUAGAGUGCGGUAGGGGAGACUGGAAUUCCUGGUGUAGCGGUGGUAUGCGCAGAUAUCAGGAGGAACACCGGUGGCGAAGGCGGGUCUCUGGGCCGUUACUGACGCUGAGGAGCGAAAGCAUGGGGAGCGAACAGG